AAGUCGUAACAAGGUUUCCGCAGAAGGAUCAUUAACACGUAGACAAACGUUAGCCACUGAUAAACACACCAAUUCCUGGUUGAACAAGCCUUUGAGUCAGGAACCUCUGUGCAGUGCGAGCUACACCCACUCUAGAAGCGCUAGUUCCAUCGGCAUUGUUUCCCCAAGCAGCCAGUGCGUGAAAGUGGCAACUACUGUGCAAGGAUAACGCUUAACGAUUUUGCAGCCGCAACAUGCGGGCAGACUUUGCCAAAGGGUCCCCAUGCCCCUUCUGCCGAUUUCACAUACAAAGCUCCAUUUUCAAUUAUAGAUGGGGUAAAACCGAACAACUGUUAACACAAUGGAUAUCUUGGUUCUG
rnacentral:misc_RNA from 1 species